CCUACGGGAGGCAGCAGUGAGGAAUAUUGGUCAAUGGCCGGAAGUCUGAACCAGCCAAGCCGCGUGAAGGACGAAUGUGCCAAGCAUUGUAAACUUCUUUUGUCAAGGGACAAAAUCAGGCUCGAGAGCCUGACCGAGGGUACUUGAAGAAAAAGCAUCGGCUAACUCCGUGCCAGCAGCCGCGGUCAUACGGAGGAUGCAAGCGUUAUCCGGUUUUAUGGGGUUAAAAGGGUGCGUAGGCGGACUGUUAAGUCAGCGGUAAAAGCCCGGGGCUCAACCCCGGCGAGCCGUUGAAACUGGCUGUCUUGAGAUGUCGAGAGGUAUGCGGAAUGCGCAGUGUAGCGGUGAAAUGCUUAGAUAUUGCGCAGAACUCCGAUUGCGAAGGAAGCAUACCGGCGGCGAUCUGACGCGGAGGCACGAAAGCGUGGGUAUCGAACAGGAUUAGAUACCCUGGUAGGC
rnacentral:rRNA from 1 species